CCGCCGCUGCAGCACAUGGGAAGUUGCCUGGGUCUGGCUGUGUUAAGGGUCUCUGCGCAAGGUCCCAGCGUUGCGCCUGGGUAGAGAGGCCCUCCCAGGUUGCCAGGGGCAGCAGAGCGGUGUCUGAGCCACAUUUCCAAGCAAAAACCCAAGAACCGAGUCUGUAUUGAACUGGAGCCUCCGAUAAAUUCGGACGUGAUUGCCAUAAUGGACCACCACAGGCUCAAAGCAGCUGGGUCAACCGACCGUGGACAGAAACCUCUGACGCUGUGAGCCAAAGGGAACCUUUUCUCUUCCGGGGUGACCGGCUCAGGAAGCUAGACACCACACUGCGCCGACUAACUCAUCUACCAGGGUGAGCACCAAAGCAUUGUGGGCUCCUCAGCAACGAGACAGACAAGAAAAGUGAGACCGCCAUGUUUCAGCAGGUGUGGAACCCUCAAGUGCCCCCAGCAAGCCAGCGGGGAGAGAAGUCCUGACUCCUGGCCAGGUCCGAGGUCCCUGACACAAAGCAUCCUUCCGAUCAGACCAGGGGACCUGGAAUGGGGCCACCACCACACUCAGGAUGGGCCCUGGGAGAAAAAGCAGCCACUGAGUAUCAAGAGGAAGACAAAAGAGCCCCGAGCAAGAAAAAAAAUAAAAAAUAAAAGGU